UGGUGGAGCGAUUUGUCUGGUUUAUUCCGAUACCGUGACAAAUGAGACUCUGGCCUACUAAAUAGUGGGCGAAUUCAGUUUGUCCGCAACACUUCUUAGACUUGGACAAGCGGUGUUCAGCCGCACGAGAUUGAGCAAUAACA
rnacentral:rRNA from 1 species